rnacentral:lncRNA from 1 species
UGUCCCCUUUUUGGUCAUUGGUGUCCCCUCCUCGUCAACGGUGUCCCCCCUUGGUCAUUGGUGUCCGUUCCUUGGUCAUUGGUGUCCCCUCCUUGUCAACGGUGUCCCCUUCUUGGUCAUUGGUGUCCCCUUUUUGGUCAUUGGUGUCCCUUCCUCAUCAACGACGUCCCCUCCUCGUCAGUGGUGUCCCCUCCUUGGUCAACGGUGUCCCCUCCUUAGUCAAUGGUGUCCCCUCCUCGUCAUUGGUGUCCCCUUUUUGGUCAUUGGUGUCCCCCCCUUGGUCAUUGGUGUCCCCUUUUUGGUCAACGGUGUCCCUCCUUGGUCAUUGGUGUCCCCCCCUCAGUCAUUGGUGUCCCCUCCUUGGUCGGCCAUGUUCUCCUGUCCUUGGUUGACCAUGUCCCCUUCCUUGGCCAAUGGUGUCCCCUUCCUUGGUCAACCGUGCCCCCUCGUGGCCACCUGGGUCCUUUUGCUGGCCACCUGUGUCCCCCGGGGCCGCGGUGGCCGGAGCUGUUUGUCACCCGGCCACCUGGGUCCCUGAUGGCGGUGGUGGCACCACAGGCGGUGUCGGGGAAGUUCACGCCCAUCACGCAGUGGCUCUACUUCGACGCGCUCGAGUGUCUCCCCGAGGAGAACAAGGAGACGCUGCUCACCGAGGAGCAGUGCCGCCCGGUGAGCACCCGCGGGGGCACCCUUCGGGCGUGGGGGUGGGGGGGUGGCACCCGUGGGAGACCCCUGCUUGGGCAUCCUCUUGGGGUGGGCGUCACCCACGGGGAAGCUGUGGGUUGGUGUCUUCUUGGGGUUGGUCAGCUCCUUGGGGAUGGCCACCCAUG